rnacentral:rRNA from 1 species
CUUACGGGAGGCAGCAGUGGGGAAUAUUGGACAAUGGGCGAAAGCCUGAUCCAGCCAUGCCGCGUGAGUGAUGAAGGCCCUAGGGUUGUAAAGCUCUUUCGCCAGGGACGAUAAUGACGGUACCUGGAUAAUAAGCCCCGGCUAACUUCGUGCCAGCAGCCGCGGUAAU